rnacentral:rRNA from 1 species
UACGGAGGGUGCAAGCGUUAUUCGGAUUUACUGGGCGUAAAGCGCACGUAGGCGGUUUCGUAAGUCUGGUGUGAAAGCCCGGGGCUUAACCCCGGAAGGGCAUUGGAUACUGCGAGACUGGAGUAUGGGAGGGGAGAGUGGAAUUCCUGGUGUAGAGGUGAAAUUCGUAGAUAUCAGGAGGAACACCAGUGGCGAAGGCGGCUCUCUGGACCAUUACUGACGCUCAGGUGCGAAAGCGUGGGGAGCAAACAGG